CUUGCUUUCUUUGCUGGCGACCGGCGCACGGGUGAGUAACACGUAUCCAACCUGCCCUUUACUCGGGGAUAGCCUUUCGAAAGAAAGAUUAAUACCCGAUAGUAUAAUGAUUCCGCAUGGUUUCAUUAUUAAAGGAUUCCGGUAAAGGAUGGGGGUGCGUUCCAUUAGGUUGUUGGUGAGGUAACGGCUCACCAAGCCUUCGAUGGAUAGGGGUUCUGAGAGGAAGGUCCCCCACAUUGGAACUGAGACACGGUCCAA
rnacentral:rRNA from 1 species